GUUUAAUGAAUCUCUUUUAUAUUAUGUUAGCUAGAUAUUAUUCUAAUAAAAAUCCUAUUGAAUCCUACUUAUAAAAAUAUACAAAACAUGUACAGUGCCAACUUGGGCAUGAUUGAAAGGACAUAAUAUAUUGUUGUAAUGUGCAUCUUGGUCUGUUAAAUUGGUACCCCGAAUGUUAUGAUAAUGAUCAAUUUGAUGUCUUUUUUCAAAAUAGAAAUAAACUAAUGGGUUUGUUUUUUGAAUUAGAAUAUGUUUCACAUAUGCGAAUAUUGAUAGGGAAAAUAAUCAUAAAAAUACUGAACUCCGAAGAAAAUUCAAAACGGAAAGUUAUGGUGGCCGGUUAAGGACAUUUCGCGUUUUCGCGUUUUCGCAUUUUCGCCUUUCAUAUUCUAUAGAGCGAAAACGCGAAAACGCGAAAUGGCCUUAACCGGCCACCAUAGAAAGUCCCUAAUGAAAUGGCAAAAUCAAAAGGUCAAACACAUACAACAAUAAUAUACAAAUUACUAUUACUAAAUAGUUACACAAAAACAAAAAUAUAAGAGUCUGAUGAUUCAAAUCGUACUUCUGGACCCAACUGCACCACGGAAACAUAGUCCUAUAAGAACAAAAUCUGGAUGUACAAAUAUCAAGCCGCUCCAAGGUCAUACGACCAAAAGAAAAAUAAUAGUACAUAGGCAGCUAAAAGGAAAACUGUAUUGUAAAUACAAAAAACACAACGUCAGCUUCCAGAAUCUAGAACGGAAGUCAAUCCUGUUUUACUGGUGAGUUACACACUGAAUAUUUAUCUAUAACUAAGUUAUACUCCAUAAAGUAUGUGUAAUUUCUGGUGAUCUUUUUGAAAACAAUCAAGCCUCAAUAAUGUUAAACUCAUGACACUUUACAAAGCAGGAAAAUCAGUGGCAACCUCUUCAAUUAAGAAUUGAAUGCUUCUUUUUGUAACUUAAUUGGGGUGUAAAAGCGUUGACAGAAGUACAUUUUUCCGCGCUUCAUUCUAGAAAUGUGCGCACGGUCAACGCUUUUACAACCCUAUGAAGUUACAAAAAGAAGCAUUCAAUACUUAUAAUUACAUUUUUUAGCUAUGAUCAUGAAAACACGAAUUUUCUGAUUUUUUUUUAUCUAAUUCACCUGUGCACUUUAUUGUGGGACCACGUGUUAUCAUGAAUGAUAAGUUUUAUUGAGUGAUGCAAUUACCUAAGGAAUAACAUGUGAUGUGCAGUUAGCCAAUCAAAAUAACGUAUUAUAAUGAAACAUACAUCUUAUGUAAUUAUUAUCAUAUAAUAAGUUGAAACAUUUAUACUCCACAAGUGUCACAUCUAGAUCUGUUAGGGCAGAAAAUUGCUUUGUCAGAUUAGCAUUUGUAGGACCGACUGUCUAACUACUUAUGCACUUUGGUCUCAAUAUCAGAGGUCACCACUAAUAUAUUAAUCUUCCCUCAUCCCCGGGAGUCAUCUUUAUGUAGAGGUUUGAUUUAGAUAUAUAUAUAUAAGAAGAUGUGGUAAGAAUGGCAAUGAGACAACUCUCAAUCCAAGUCAUAAUUUGUAAAAGUAAAUCAUUAUAUGUCAAAGUACGGUCUUCAACACGGAGCCUAGGCUCACAACGAACAGCAAACUAUAAAUGGCUAGUGUAAAUCAAUUCAAACGGAAAAAUCAACGGUCUAGUCUAUAUAAAAAACGAGAAACAAGAACCAUGUAUGAACCACAUCAUCAAACGACUACCACUACUUAUUAUGUGAAAUGAAACGUCAAUAAAUGAAAAGGCAUGUUUGGUGAUUGUGAUAUUCUUGCAUCACAUGUCAAGAUGAAUACCUAGCUAGGAAAAACUUUUCUUCUACGGCACUGUUCCGGAAUCAU
rnacentral:lncRNA from 1 species